ACGGGUGAGUAACACGUAGGUAACCUGCCGAUCAGACAGGGAUAACUACCGGAAACGGUAGCUAAGACCGGAUACGCUUGCGAGGGGGCAUCCUCUUGUAAGGAAAAGCGGAGCAAUCUGCUACUGAUUGAUGGACCUGCGGCGCAUUAGCUAGUUGGUGAGGUAGCGGCUCACCAAGGCGACGAUGCGUAGCCGACCUGAGAGGGUGAACGGCCACACUGGGACUGAGACACGGCCCAGACUCCUACGGGAGGCAGCAGUAGGGAAUCUUCGGCAAUGGACGCAAGUCUGACCGAGCAACGCCGCGUGAGUGAUGAAGGUUUUCGGAUCGUAAAACUCUGUUGCCAGGGAAGAAUGAUUGAGAGAGUAACUGCUCUUGAUGUGACGGUACCUGAGAAGAAAGCCCCGGCUAACUACGUGCCAGCAGCCGCGGUAAUACGUAGGGGGCAAGCGUUGUCCGGAAUUAUUGGGCGUAAAGCGCGCGCAGGCGGUUGCUUAAGUCUGGUGUAUAAACCAAGGGCUCAACCUUUGGACGCAUUGGAAACUGGGCAACUGGAGUGUAGGAGAGGAAGGUGGAAUUCCACGUGU
rnacentral:rRNA from 1 species